AACGAACGCUGGCGGCAUGCCUAACACAUGCAAGUCGAACGAGACCUUCGGGUCUAGUGGCGCACGGGUGCGUAACGCGUGGGAACCUGCCCUUAGGUUCGGAAUAACUCCCCGAAAGGGGUGCUAAUACCGGAUAAUGUCUUCGGACCAAAGAUUUAUCGCCUUUGGAUGGGCCCGCGUUGGAUUAGCUAGUUGGUAGGGUAAAAGCCUACCAAGGCGACGAUCCAUAGCUGGUCUGAGAGGAUGAUCAGCCACACUGGGACUGAGACACGGCCCAGACACGUGAGGGCGGCAGCAGUGGAGAGACUGACACGCGGGGCGAAAGCAUGAUGAAGCGAUGCGGGGUGGUGGAUGAGGGACUGGUGGUUGUCAAGCUGUGUUCCUGGGGAGGAAAAUGACAGCGGCGGGAGAAGAACCCCCGGCCAACGCGUCGCCAGCGGCAGCAGUACAACUCGAGGAGAACACGUAUGAAC
rnacentral:rRNA from 1 species